rnacentral:rRNA from 1 species
UACGGGGGGGGCAAGCGUUGUUCGGAAUUACUGGGCGUAAAGGGCGCGUAGGCGGCCUUCUAAGUCGGACGUGAAAUCCCUCGGCUUAACCGAGGAACUGCGUCCGAUACUGAAAGGCUUGAAUCCGGGAGAGGGAUGUGGAAUUGCAGGUGUAGCGGUGAAAUGCGUAGAUAUCUGCAGGAACACCCGUGGCGAAAGCGGCGCGCUGGACCGCUACUGACGCUGAGGAGCGAAAGCUAGGGGAGCAAACAGG